rfam:Schistosoma margrebowiei strain Zambia genome assembly, scaffold: SMRZ_contig0000243
CAACUGCUGAGGGGUCUCAUAACAGAACGAAACGGCCGUCCAGUGC